rnacentral:tRNA from 1 species
GCCCGGCUGGCUCAGUCGGUGGAGCGUGCAACUCUUGAUCUCGGGCUUGUGGGUUCAAGCCCCACGGUGGGUG